rnacentral:lncRNA from 1 species
GCGAAUAUGCAUCAACAAGCCCGGCUAAUUAUUCCUUUUUUUCGUUACGUUUGGUGUCUGGAUCGUGACCGACUAGGGUCCAUAAGACCUCUCUUCAAGCUUUCAAAAGCAAGCUUUCGAAAUUUGCUUGAUUGCGUUGCGGGGCCGGUGGAGACAUGAUACACAGGCCACUGGAUAAGGCAGGAAGCUUUCCUUCAGUAAUAUGGUACUGCCAGACCACAAGGCCACGGCGGACUACUAGCCCGUGAUCGGCCGUAUCUUCCAUAGGUUACCUUGCUUGGCCGGUAAGCUCUUGCCAAUGAACAGCUACAAGCUGGCCCUACCGCUUGGUUAUACUUGCUGAAGGAGGCCGCAGGAAGAGGAUUGAAGCGCUUGGCCAUUUGUGCUCGUUACCCGUGCGUUUAUCACUAUAGACAUGGGAUGCCGCUCAAGCAGCGAAUCGCCCUCAGGACAAGGGAACACAGUGCUCGCCGUUUAAGUGCUGUCCGGCCUAAUGCGGCACAUCGGCCCCCAAAGCUAAUCCCGUAAAGGGGGGUUGGGAGUAGGGACGGCACCCGAAGCUAUGGUUGCGUCAGGGGUUCUUGUCAUAAGUAAGGGAACACCAUUUUAUGGGAGUAGAAGCUGGGAUCAAGGGGGGCCCAGCGUGGAAGAUCAAGCGCUUGACGCCCUUCUCUCUGCCUGACUGAACCCUGUGAGUGCGUACGAGAAUGUUUAGGCUGUACUUGCCAUCCAAGAGCAAAAUGGCCUGUUGAAAGCAGUGCUGCUUCCAAAGCCCGUACUUCUGGCUGAUGUGGGGGUUGCUUAGGAUUAGCCAUAUUACACCGGCAGUAGCACCUGCGGCUUAUGUAACAGCCAUGAGUUGGAUACCAGCACCUGCCGUACAAGCGGCAAGCGAGCGAAACGCACAUUAAGGGCAUCCUAGGGCUCAUGUUCAUCCACGGACGGGAAGGAUACGCGCGAUGCGAUUGUGCCAUGGGAACCGCCUCGGCAACGCAUUGGCAGAUAGGCCAGGUAUCUGGUACAGCAGCUCACCCACUCCUCGGCAGGGUAAAGAAGCAUCCUUGCCUCCAUCUCAUUUUCAUGGCAGGCGUGUUUAAGCUCCGUGGGAACUAGCCUCACCUCCGCAGUCACGAGCUAAACCGGUGGAUAAGGAAGCAGCUCAGGCCUGCAACUGACAGGCCCCUGGAUUUUGUUCUGCACAUGGUUCCGAAAUUUUCUUGAGAGGGAGGCCUCGUGUGAUGAUGACAUGGCCUAUGCACUAUAUACGCACUUGCCUGAUGCUAUACCGUGUCGCUCGUAAUGCGCACACGGACACACCUAAAGCGGCGCAGCAAGUGGACAACAGUCGGAACAGGACGUCCGCAAAGGAACAUGAUGGGUCAAAGGCUUCUGGACUUGCAUGUUGAUCGCACUGAUCGCAAGGCUAGCCUGUCGUGAAAUAGCACGUGCGCUACAAACCGCCUGGUGGGCGGCAGAAUUGAGGAGGGCAGCAGCAUUUGGGCAGGUGGCCAUGCCCACCUAGAGCCAUUGAUUUCCAGCCUACGGUCUUUAUCAGGCGGCGAAAUCGCCGAAACCACCUCCUCAAGCGUGCCACUUUCAGCAUAGCUUUAUGUAAUAUACAUACGUC